rnacentral:rRNA from 1 species
AUUGAACGCUGGCGGCAUGCCUUACACAUGCAAGUCGAACGGCAGCGCGGACUUCGGUCUGGCGGCGAGUGGCGAACGGGUGAGUAAUGUAUCGGAACGUACCAUUCAGUGGGGGAUAACGCAGCGAAAGUUGCGCUAAUACCGCAUAUUCUGUGCGCAGGAAAGCAGGGGAUCGCAAGACCUUGCGCUGAUUGAGCGGCCGAUAUCAGAUUAGCUAGUUGGUGAGGUAAAGGCUCACCAAGGCGACGAUCUGUAGCGGGUCUGAGAGGAUGGUCCGCCACACUGGAACUGAGACACGGUCCAGAGUCCUACGGGAGGCAGCAGUGGGGAAUGUUGGUCAAUGGGGCCACCCUGAUCCAGCCAUGCCGCGUGGGUGAAGAAGGCCUUCGGGUUGUAAAGCUCUUUCGGCCGGGAAGAAGUCGCACGGGCUAAUACCCUGUGUGGAUGACGGUACCGGAAUAAGAAGCACCGGCUAACUACGUGCCAGCAGCCGCCGUAAGAC